UUCCUACGGGAGGCAGCAGUGAGGAAUAUUGGUCAAUGGACGCAAGCCUGAUGCAGCGACGCCGCGUGAGCGAAGAAGUAUUUCGGUAUGUAAAGCUCUAUCAGCAGGGAAGAAAAUGAUGGUACCUGACUAAGAAGCUCCGGCUAAAUACGUGCCAGCAGCCGCGGUAAUACGUAUGGAGCAAGCGUUAUCCGGAAUUACUGGGUGUAAAGGGAGCGUAGACGGAUGUGAAAGUCUGAUGUGAAAGGCGGGGGCUCAACCCCUGGACUGCAUUGGAUACUGUAAAUCUUGAGUGCCGGAGAGGU
rnacentral:rRNA from 1 species